GGGGCCGUAGUCCAAUCAGGCAGGAGACACGCGACUUAGGAUCGCGCCAGUGUGGGUUCGAAUCCCACCGGCCCCA
rnacentral:tRNA from 2 species